GGAAAUAAGAAUCGUCAGAGGAAGGGAUAGCGAACUCGUGGCUCUACGAACAGGAACGUGAUAGUAAGGCGUAUAUAGCGGAUAAGGGGGCCUCAAACUCUAAAGUUCAAAAAGGUAGUCGUAACCUAUAUGCGUAAAUCACGAGAGCAACUGAAUUUGUCCAUUCGAGGAUGGAUAAACUA
rnacentral:ncRNA from 1 species